AUUGAACGCUGGCGGCAUGCCUUACACAUGCAAGUCGAACGGCAGCAUGGAGAGCUUGCUCUCUGAUGGCGAGUGGCGAACGGGUGAGUAAUGCAUCGGAACGUACCGUGUAAUGGGGGAUAACGUAGCGAAAGUUACGCUAAUACCGCAUACGACCUGAGGGUGAAAGCAGGGGAUCGCAAGACCUUGCGUUAUACGAGCGGCCGAUGUCAGAUUAGCUGGUUGGUGAGGUAAGGGAUCACCAAGGCGACGAUCUGUAGCGGGUCUGAGAGGAUGAUCCGCCACACUGGGACUGAGACACGGCCCAGACUCCUACGGGAGGCAGCAGUGGGGAAUUUUGGACAAUGGGGGCAACCCUGAUCCAGCCAUGCCGCGUGAGUGAAGAAGGCCUUCGGGUUGUAAAGCUCUUUCGGCCGGGAAGAAAUCGCACAGGCUAAUACUCUGUGUGGAUGACGGUACCGGUAUAAGAAGCACCGGCUAACUACGUGCCAGCAGCCGCGGUAA
rnacentral:rRNA from 1 species